ACAUACGACCACAGCCGCUUGAGAGCUUUGGAUCCCGUCCGAUCUCCGGUAAAUAAGCAAGCGAGCGCCAGGUUAGUAGUUGGGUCGGUGACGACCAGCGAAUCUCCGACAAGGCCUGCC
rnacentral:rRNA from 1 species